rnacentral:rRNA from 1 species
UAGGGAAUCUUCGGCAAUGGGGGCAACCCUGACCGAGCAACGCCGCGUGAGUGAAGAAGGUUUUCGGAUCGUAAAGCUCUGUUGUAAGAGAAGAACGUGUGUGAGAGUGGAAAGUUCACACAGUGACGGUAACUUACCAGAAAGGGACGGCUAACUACGUGCCAGCAGCCGCGGUAAUACGUAGGUCCCGAGCGUUGUCCGGAUUUAUUAGGCGUAAAGCGAGCGCAGGCGGUUUAAUAAGUCUGAAGUUAAAGGCAGUGGCUUAACCAUUGUUCGCUUUGGAAACUGUUAAACUUGAGUGCAGAAGGGGAGAGUGGAAUUCCAUGUGUAGCGGUGAAAUGCGUAGAUAUAUGGAGGAACACCGGUGGCGAAAGCGGCUCUCUGGUCUGUAACUGACGCUGAGGCUCGAAAGCGUGGGGAGCAAACAGG